UGGUGACUGAGAUCGAAUGCAGUGCGAAACCUUCCACAUCAGGGAAAGAGACAGAAUUGCAUGAAGAAUCAUUGGUGACUGAGAUUGAAUGCAGUGCGAAAACGUCCAUGUCAGGGAAAGAGACAGAAUUAUGUGAAGAGUCAUCAAUGGCAAUGAUUGAAUGUGGUUCGAAACACUUCCACAUCAGAUAAGG